rnacentral:rRNA from 1 species
UACGUAGGUCCCGAACGUUGCGCGAAUUUACUGGGCGUAAAGGGUCCGUAGGCGGUUUAGCAAGUGGUUGGUGAAAUUUCACGGCUCAACCGUGAAACUGCCUUCCAAACUGCUAAACUUGAGGCAGGGAGAGGUCGGCGGAAUUCCCGGUGUAGCGGUGAAAUGCGUGGAUAUCGGGAGGAACACCAGUGGCGAAGGCGGCCGACUGGAACCGGCCUGACCCUGCGGGGCGAACGCGUGGGGCGCGUGCCGA